rnacentral:rRNA from 1 species
UACGUAGGGAGCGAGCGUUGUCCGGAAUUACUGGGUGUAAAGGGAGCGUAGGCGGGACUGCAAGUUGGGUGUCAAAUCUACCGGCUCAACCGGUAGCCGCACUCAAAACUGCAGUUCUUGAGUGAAGUAGAGGCAGGCGGAAUUCCUAGUGUAGCGGUGAAAUGCGUAGAUAUUAGGAGGAACACCAGUGGCGAAGGCGGUCUGCUGGACAGCAACUGACGGUGAGGCGCGAAAGCGUGGGGAGCAAACAGG